AGAGUUUGAUCCUGGCUCAGGAUGAACGCUAGCGAUAGGCUUAACACAUGCAAGUCGAGGGGCAGCACGGUGUAGCAAUACACUGGGUGGCGACCGGCGUACGGGUGACGUAACACGUAUGCAACCUACCCGCUAUUGGGGGAUAACCCGGCGAAAGUCGGACUAAUAUCCCAUAUUAUUCUUACCGGGCAUCCGGUGAGUCUGAAAGAUUUAUCGAUUGCGGAUGGGCAUGCGGAUGAUUAGCUAGUAGGUGGGGUAACGGCUCACCUAGGCGACGAUCAUUAGGGGUUCUGAGAGGAAGGUCCCCCACACUGGAACUGAGACACGGUCCAGACUCCUACGGGAGGCAGCAGUGAGGAAUAUUGGUCAAUGGGGGAAACCCUGAUCCAGCGACGCCCGCGUGAGUGAAGAAGUAUUUCGGUAUGUAAAGCUCUAUCAGCAGGGAAGAUAAUGACAGUACCUGACUAAGAAGCCCCGGCUAACUACGUGCCAGCAGCUGC
rnacentral:rRNA from 1 species